rnacentral:rRNA from 1 species
UGUAAGGUUAAUCACAAGCUAACAAUUCUUGACAGCAUGUACGCGUCUUCGAGCUCCCCCGCCAAAGCCUCGUACCAUACCGGUGAAUUUGGAAUGUUAUUUCUUAUUAUGUACUGCGCCAAUGCGCCGUCCCCCCGAAGAAUUUUAGCCCCGCACCCAGGCCUGUCGACGGAACCAAUGGCCUCCUCGUCCACCACAACAGCAUCUACUCGCUCAUUUCCAGCUUUCUCGUCAGGGAUCUGUUUACGAAGAAUGUCAGAACGUAUGCCUCGAUUUUGCAGCUCAUUACAGAAAACUGCAAGCAGCUACCUCGUACAUGGCCUCCAGUAGAAUGGUCUCUAAGAGGGCUCUUAG